rnacentral:rRNA from 1 species
GGUUAAGCGACUAAGCGUACACGGUGGAUGCCCUGGCAGUCAGAGGCGAUGAAGGACGUGCUAAUCUGCGAUAAGCGCCGGUAAGGUGAUAUGAACCGUUAUAACCGGCGAUUUCCGAAUGGGGAAACCCAGUGUGACUCGUCACACUAUCAUUAACUGAAUCCAUAGGUUAAUGAGGCGAACCGGGGGAACUGAAACAUCUAAGUACCCCGAGGAAAAGAAAUCAACCGAGAUUCCCCCAGUAGCGGCGAGCGAACGGGGAGGAGCCCAGAGCCUGAAUCAGCAUGUGUGUUAGUGGAAGCGUCUGGAAAGGCGCGCGAUACAGGGUGACAGCCCCGUACACAAAAGCGCAUGUGCUGUGAGCUCGAUGAGUAGGGCGGGACACGUGGUAUCCUGUCUGAAUAUGGGGGGACCAUCCUCCAAGGCUAAAUACUCCUGACUGACCGAUAGUGAACCAGUACCGUGAGGGAAAGGCGAAAAGAACCCCGGCGAGGGGAGUGAAAAAGAACCUGAAACCGUGUACGUACAAGCAGUGGGAGCCCCACCACUAAGCCAGUGGUGAACUCCACAUACGCAUCCUUUGCUGAGGAUACGGUUAACGGAGCGAAAGCGAYGUUCAACCGCAAAAGAAGCAGAGGGGGCUUAGUGGUGGGGUGACUGCGUACCUUUUGUAUAAUGGGUCAGCGACUUAUAUUCUGUAGCAAGGUUAACCGAAUAGGGGAGCCGGAGGGAAACCGAGUCUUAAUUGGGCGUUAAGUUGCAGGGUAUAGACCCGAAACCCGGUGAUCUAGCCAUGGGCAGGUUGAAGGUUGGGUAACACUAACUGGAGGACCGAACCGACUAAUGUUGAAAAAUUAGCGGAUGACCUGUGGCUGGGGGUGAAAGGCCAAUCAAACCGGGAGAUAGCUGGUUCUCCCCGAAAGCUAUUUAGGUAGCGCCUCGUGAAUUCAUCUCCGGGGGUAGAGCACUGUUUCGGCUAGGGGGCCAUCCCGGCUU